rnacentral:lncRNA from 1 species
AAAAAAAAAAAAAAAAAAAAAGAGUGUGUGUGUGUGUGUUUGUAUGUGCGCACGAGUGCGCGUGCGAUCUUCAUCACCUAUUUAUGAGCCAUUAAAUCCACCAUUAGCUUCUAGGUUUCUGCAUGAAUACAGGCCAUACGUGUAAGAACUGUACAGAACUUUUUUUUCUUAUUUUUAUCAGGGGUGACAUUUUUUUUUUUUUAAAGAAGCAAGAGACUGCUUCCUGUAAAUGUUACUAAUUUAUGUUAUUGAAUAGGUGAUUCAACAAAAUAACUACUCUGAUUAACUUAUUGCUUGCCUAAAGUUUGGUGUCUUGGAGUUCCCGUCAUGGCUCAGAGGAAAUGAAUCUAACCAGCAUCCAUUAGGAUGCAGGUUCGAUCCCUGGCCUUGCUCAGUGGAUUAAGAAUCUGGCAUUGCCCUGAGCUGUGGUGUAGGUCGUACAUGUGGCAUGGAUCUGGCAUUGCUGUGGCUAUAGCAUAGGCCAGUGGCUACAGCUCCAAUUCAACCCCUGGCCUGAGAACCUCCAUAUGCUGUGGGUAUGCCCCCCCAAAUUAAAUUAAAUUAAAUUUUGUGUCUCAAUUUAAAAAUAAUAGAACCAAUCCCUAAAAAAUGCAUGUGAUAUCCAUUUGCCAGAUUUUUCAUUCAUAGAAAUAGAGAGCUGUUAUAAAUAUAGCCAUUUAACAUUUGCCUUUCAAUAAGAUAUAUUCUGGGACUAAUUUGAAAUUUUUAAAAAUUCCACCUUAAAUUUGAAUUGUAAUGAUAGACAUUUUUGUUCUAAGAAUAUACAUGCAUAUACAUGGUAAGUAAUUUUUUUUUAGUUUAAACGUAAAAAAUCCUAAAUAAGCUAGUAUAUCACAAUAAAAACAGUUGUCAAAUAUGUUCUUCCUGAGAAAUGGUAUUAAAAUUAUUUAUUAUAAACCUUAUAACAUUAAUGAGAUUUCUAGCAAAGAAAAUAAAUCAUUUAGUCUAAUCCCUCUCCCCCAAAUGCAAUAAUUUAUUUCUAUUUUAGAAUAGUUCCUUUUUAUCUUUCAACAAAUGCCUGUUCUUUGCAUGGUUAUACUAGCUAGAUUAGUGAACAUAGAACUGUAUGUAUGUGCACUAACAUACCUGUAUGUGUAAUGUUGCAUAAAUAAAUCACAUUAGUAUUUAAUUAAUUGUCUAUUUUUUGAAGCAUACAUUUUUAUUUAGUGCAGUAAAUUUAGUACACAUUUGACUUUGCAAAACUAUCUCAAGCCAGUCUACACCAAAGUACCUAUGCCAAACUACUCUAGACUGAAUUACCAUAAGAAUUACAUUACAUGCAUUUUAUUACUUCUAUCUAUUCAUUGGAGGGGAGGGAUGGUAAAAAAAUAUGUCACAUAGCUAUUAGAAGAGAUUUUUCUCAGGUACUUGAAAAUUUUUAUUCAGGAGAAAAUAAUUGUAACAAAGAAAAAGAAUCUAGAAGUUCCCGUCGUGGCUCAAGGGUUAAUGAAUCCAACUAGUAUCCAUGAGGAUGCAGGUUUGAUCCCUGACCUUGCUCAGUGGGUUAAGGAUUCAGCAUUGCAGUGAGUUGUGGUGUAGGUUGCAGACAUGGCUCAGAUCCUGCAGCUGUAGCUGCCAGCCUAUACCACAACCACAGCAAUUCCAGAUCCGAGACACAUCUGCAACCUACACCACAGCUUACAGCAUUGCCAGAUCCUUAACCUGCUGAGUGAGGCCAGGAAUCAAACCCGCAUGCUCAUGGAUACUAGUCAGGUUUGUUAUUGCUGAGCCAAAACAGGAACUCCAGUAUUAACUCUUUUGGUGGGAAAAAUGGAAGAAGUAUCUUGGGAUAUGAGUUUUCUUUCUGCUGUUCUCUGCUUACAACAUAUUACACUUCUUUUAAAACCAGACUCUUCAAAACGGCACACAUGAGCCUCUGAUUACAUUCUCAUCUUUAUCUCAAUUGACCUACCUCUUUCAGCUUAUGGUGCUUCAACAAUAUUAACUAUUUUUCUUUUCCUGGAAUAUCUCUAUGACUUAGGAAUUUGGGGUUGAUUUCCUAUCUGUCUGGAAUACUUAUCCUUUGGUUAGUUCCAUGCUUGACUCCAUAGUCCUACGAGGCGUGGAUUAAAUACCCUUUAUCUAGAAGAUCUUUUCUGACCACCAUAUCUAAAAUAGCUUCCCACCAGAAUCGUUUGCUGUAACACCACCUUUUUUAUUUCUUUCAGAAUAGUUGUCACAAGAAUAAUCAUGUUAGUUGGAUAUCUUCUCUAACAAAGGGUAAGUUCCAUGAGUACAGGGACUUUUCCUACCUUUUACCCCUGAUGUAGCUACUGUGCAGAACACAGCACCUGGUAGACUAAAAACCUGAAAGAACACGCAAAUAUUUGCUGCAAAAAUGAACAUUUACUGUCUUAAUAUAAACAGCAAGUUAAUUUGAAAAGUGAAGUAUAAUUCUGAUGCUCAUGUAUAGUUUUGUUUGUCUAAAUCCAAUUACUAGUUAGUAUCCACAUUGUGAUGCAUCCAAAUUGCAUUUUCAUUUCAGCAAUUGAGGCUCUGGGAUAUACAAAGGUAGGAGAUUUUUCCCAAAGCAAAUGAUAGAGAUGAAAAAAAGAGAUCUGUGUACCUUGCUUUUAUUCAGAAAAGAAAUAACUACGUUUAUUAUAAAAUUUAUAAGAAUGUAGACAUGUGUCUUGUGACAUCAUGUAUUUUAAAUUCUGCAUUGAUAUUGAAUUUAAUAACUAGCUUAGGCAAAAUUUCAUAAAUUUGAAAGUUUGUUAGAAAGUCGUUACUUCUUUUUAAAAAUUUUAUUAAAGUGUGGUUGAUUUACAAUGUUGUUUAUUUAUGCUGCACAGCAAAGUGAUUCAGUUAUACAUACAUAUCUUUUCUUUUUCAUAUUCUUUUCCAUUAUAGUUUAUCAUGGGAUAUUGAAUAUAGUUCCCUGUGCCAUACAGUAAGAUCUUAUUGUUUAUCUUAUCCUAUCUAUAAUAGUUUCUGUCUGCUAAUCCCAAACUCCCAAUCCCCCCUCCUCUCUCCCUUUUGGCAACCACAAGUGUGUUCUUGUGUUCUCCUAUCUGUGAGCCUGAUUCUGUUUCAAAAAUAUGUUCAUUUGUGUCAUAUUUUAGAUUCCACAUAUAAGUGAUAUCACAAAGUGUUUGUCUUUCUCUUUCUCACUCACUUUGUUUAGUAUGAUAAUCUCUAGUUGCAUCUCUGUUCCUUCAAAGGGCGGUAUAUUUUUAUUUUCUUAUAGCUGAGUAAUAUUCCAUUAUACGUAUAUACACACAUACAUAUAUACCACAUCUUCUUUAUCCAUUCAUCUCUCAAUGGAUAUUUACCUGUUUCUAUGUCUUGGCUAUUAUAAAUAAUGCCACUAUGAACAUAAGGGUGCAUGUAUGUUCUUGAAUUAUAGUUUUUUCUGGAUACAUGUCCACGAGUGGGAUUGCUAGGUCAUAUAGCAGCUCUAAUUUUUUUUUUUUUUUUUUUGAGGAAACUUCAUAUUGUUUUCCAAUGUAGCUGUACCAAAUAACAUUCCCACCAACAGUGCCGGAAGUUUCCCUUUUCUCCAGCAUUUAUUAUUGUAGACUUUUUAAUCAUGACCAUUCUGGCAGUAUGAUGUGGUACCACAUUGUAGUUUUGAUUUGCAUUUCUCAAAAAAUUAGCUAUGAUAAGCAUCUUUUCAUGUUCCUAUUGGCUAUCUGUAUUCUUCUAGAGAAAUGUCUAUUUAAAUAUUCUGCCCAUUUUUCAAUUGGGAUGUUUGUUUAUUUUGUUAUUGAGUUAUAUGAACUGUUUGUAUUUUUGUAAGUUAGGCCCUUGCCAUUUGUAUUAGCUGCAAAUAUUUUCUCCCAGUCCAAAGAAUGUCUUUUCAUUUUGUUUAUGGUUUCCUUUGCUAUGCAAAUCUUAUAAGUUUUAUUAGGUCUCAUUUGUUUGUUUUUGUUUUUUGCUUUAUUUCUAUUGCCUUGGGGGACUAAUCAAAGAAAACAUUGGUAUGAUUUAUGUCAGAGAAUAUUUUACCUAUGUUCUCAUCUAGUUAUCUCUAGUUUAAGUCUUUAAGCCAUUUUGAGUUUAUAUUUGUGUAUGGUGUGAGAGUGUGUUCUAAAUUCAUUGAUUUGCCUGUGGCUCUCCAAGGAAAGUUUUUACCUUUUGUUUUUAUAAAUUUUAUUGGAGUAUAGGUGACAACAAUAUUUUGUUAGUUUCAGGUGUAUAGCUAAGUGAAUCACUGUACAUAUACAUUUACAUCCAUCCUUUUUCAGAUUCUUUCCCCAUAUAGGCAAUUACAGAAUAUUGAGUAGAUUUCCCCAAGCUAUAUAGUAAGUCCCUAUUAAUGGUUGAUUUUGUAUAUAGUACUUUGUAUAUGCCAAUCUCACCUCCUUAUCCAUCACUUCCUUCAUGGUUCCUCUUUGGUAACCAUGAGCUUGGUUUUGAAAUCUUUAAAUCUGUUUCUGUUUUGUGAAAAAAAAAUAAUAAUAAUUAUAAUAAUAAUUCUGUUUUGUACUUCUUUUAUUAGAUACCACAUAUCAGUGAUCUCACAUGAUAUUUGUCUUUGUCUGUCUCUGACUUACCUCACUUAGUAUGAUAAACUCUAGGUCCAUCCAUAUUGCUGCAAAUGGCAUUAUUUUCUUCCUUUUUGUGGCCAUGUAAUAUUCCAUUUGUAUAUGCACCACAUCUUCUUUAUCUAAUCCUCUGUUGAUGGACAUUUAGAUGGCUUCCAUGUCUUGGCUAUCGUAAAUAGUGCUGCAGAGAACAUCAGGGUGCAUGUAUC